CAUUCAACAAGAACCACCACCCACAACAUGCAGUAUUUAACUUUGUCACCCUGUUCCAGUUGAACUGGCUCUGCACCACCACUUCAGUUCUUAUUCAACACGUGUUUAUGUUUUGGAAGUAUUCUCUUACUUUCAUUCUGCAAAUUUCUCAGGCACAUUUCAUUUGCCACUUUGAAAGUGAACUACUACGCGAGGAUGGGCUGCUAUCAAUCAAAAGAAAUACCAAACGCACAGGGCCCCAUUGAAGCGGGCAUUCGACAAAUUCCACCACUCUAAACCAACGGCGUUUAACUUUUUCAACAUCUUCCAGACGAAAGGGCUCUGCAUAUUCAGCUGUUAAUAACUGACUAGGGUGACCAAUUUCUGUUAGCACAUUUCUUUAGAACGCGUGUUCAACCUGAUAUAAUAACACUUUUAACCAAGUGAUAAUGGUUUUUCUUUCCGUCUGAGCAAACUAAACUCCUACUGAACUACAACGUAUGUGAGAUUCACCGGUUCAAAGCACUAAACCAGUCGCAUACGACUUAAAGCUCUCGGGGUUUAUUUGUCAACAGGUAGCUCAUUCAAACAUUCACGUUUAAAGUACUCAACAAGUAAUACUAUCAGAAUCCAGUUUUUUUCAACACCUUC